rnacentral:rRNA from 1 species
UACGGAGGGUGCAAGCGUUAUCCGGAUUUACUGGGUUUAAAGGGUGCGUAGGUGGGCAGGUAAGUCAGUGGUGAAAUCUCCGGGCUUAACUCGGAAACUGCCAUUGAUACUAUUUGUCUUGAAUAUCCUGGAGGUAAGCGGAAUGUGUCAUGUAGCGGUGAAAUGCUUAGAUAUGACAUAGAACACCCAUUGCGAAGGCAGCUUACUACGGGAUCAUUGACACUGAGGCACGAAAGCGUGGGGAUCAAACAGG